rnacentral:rRNA from 1 species
GACGAACGCUGGCGGCGUGCUUAACACAUGCAAGUCGAACGGAAGGGCCCUGCUUUUGCGGGGUGCUCGAGUGGCGAACGGGAGAGUAACACGUGAGUAACCUGCCCUUGACUGUGGGAUAACUGGAGGAAGCUGGGGCUAAUACCGGAUAGGAGCUCCUGAUGCAGGGGGGGGGUUGGAAAGCUUCGGCGGUUGGGGAUGGACGCGCGGCUUAUCAGCUUGUUGGGGGGGUAGCGGCCUACCGAGGCUUUGGCGGGUAGCCGGCCUGGGAGGGUGACCAGCCACAUUGGGACUGCGGUACGCCCCAGUCGCCUACGGUGGGCAGUGGGGGGGAAUAUUGCACAACGGGCGCAAGCCUGAGGCAGCAGCGCCGCGUUCGGGAUGCCGGCCAUCGUGUUGUGAACCGCAUUCGCCUGUGACGUUGCGUGAGUGACGGUAAUAGGUAAAGAAGCACCGGCUAACUACGUG